rnacentral:rRNA from 1 species
GCGGUCUGUAGGUGGUUAUUUAAGUCUACUGUUAAAUAUCAGGGCUUAACCCUGAAUCGGCAGUAGAAACUCAUAAGCUUGAGUACGGUAGGGGCAGAGGGAAUUCCCGGUGUAGCGGUGAAAUGCGUAGAGAUCGGGAAGAACACCGAUGGCGAAAGCACUCUGCUGGGCCGAAACUGACACUGAGAGACGAAAGCUAGGGGAGCAAAAAGGGAUUAGAUACCCCCAGU